rnacentral:RNase_P_RNA from 1 species
CGAGCCGGGCGGACGGCCGCGUGGAGUCCCCGUAGGGGGCUUCCCGAGGAACGUCCGGGCUCCACAGGGCAGGGUGAUGGCUAACGGCCACCCGGGGUGACCCGCGGGACAGUGCCACAGAAAGCAGACCGCCGAGGGCUUAGGCCCUCGGUAAGGGUGAAACGGUGGUGUAAGAGACCACCAGUGCCCAGGGCGACCUGGGCAGCUAGGUAAACCCCACCCGGAGCAAGGUCAAAAGGAGCGCCGUAAAAAGCACUCUGCGCGGACGUUCGAGGGCUGCCCGCCCGAGCCCGCGGGUAGACCGCACGAGGCCGGUGGCAACACCGGCCCUAGAUGGAUGGCCGUCGCCGGGGGGACCGUGAGGUCCCCCCGGAACAGAACCCGGCGUACAGUCCGACUCGUCUG